AGGUUUAGCACAGUUGUCAGCGCUCGAAGGUUGGGCUCAAGAGGUCGUGGGUUCAAAUCCCGCCUUCU
rnacentral:tRNA from 1 species